rnacentral:rRNA from 1 species
CAGUAGCCGCGGGAAUACGAAGGGGGCUAGCGUUGCUCGGAAUUACUGGGCGUAAAGGGAGCGUAGGCGGAUCGUUAAGUUGGGGGUGAAAGCCCGGGGCUCAACCUCGGAACUGCCUUCAAUACUGGCGAUCUUGAGUAUGAGAGAGGUGUGUGGAACUCCGAGUGUAGAGGUGAAAUUCGUAGAUAUUCGGAAGAACACCAGUGGCGAAGGCGACACACUGGCUCAUUACUGACGCUGAGGCGCGAAAGCGUGGGGAGCAAACAGGAUUAGAUACCCCCGUAGUCCCUGUCUCUUAUAA